rnacentral:rRNA from 1 species
GACGAACGCUGGCGGCGUGCUUAACACAUGCAAGUCGAGCGAUGAAACACCUUCGGGUGCGGAUUAGCGGCGAACGGGUGAGGAACACGUGAGGAAUCUGCCUUCCACUCUGGGAUAACUCCGGGAAACCGGGGCUAAUACCGGAUACUUUCAACUGGCGGCAUCGCCGGUUGAAGAAAGUUUUUCGGUGGAAGAUGACCUCGCGGCCUAUCAGCUAGUUGGUGAGGUAACGGCUCACCAAGGCGACGACGGGUAGCCGGCCUGAGAGGGUGACCGGCCACACUGGGACUGAGACGCGGCCCAGACUCCUACGGGAGGCAGCAGUGGGGAAUAUUGCACAAUGGGCGCAAGCCUGAUGCAGCAACGCCGCGUGAGGGAUGACGGCCUUCGGGUUGUAAACCUCUUUUAGUAGGGAAGAAGCGAAAGUGACGGUACCUGCAGAAAAAGCACCGGCUAACUACGUGCCAGCCGCCGCUGUAA